GAACACACUCACAGCUCCCACGACCAAACGCAGCCACUCUCCAGCUCCUUUACUCACUUGUAGAGCUGCAGGGUGUGGCGGUUUCCAUGACGGAAUAUCUCAUACUUGGGAAUAGGGCUAUUUUUGAGAAAAAAAUCCCAGCACUUCAUUCCUGAGCAGAGGGGAGUGGAUCACACGCUCAUCUCCUGUAACACUGGCUGGAGAAGGCAAUGCUACACAGAAGUGACUAAAAUGCUGGAAAAUCCUUGUGGCAGCACCUCCAUGAAGACCCACCCUGAAGAGAGAAGCUCAAUAUCCACUCAGUGCAAAUGAGCUGUGAUGACCCUUGAGACCAUGAAGUCCAGACAGAGUCACCAAGGAAAGCACUUGGUGCAGAGAUGUGGGAUGAAACUGCACAAUAAAUGGAAAUGUUCUUGUU